CAUGCAGGCGGUUACAUAAGUCAGAUGUGAAAUCCCCGCGCUUAAAGUGGGCAUUGCAUCUGAAACUGGUUAGCUAGAGUUCUGUAGAGGGGGGUAGAAUUCCAGGUGUAGCGGUGAAAUGCGUAGAGAUCUGGAGGAAUACCGAUUGCGAAGGCAGCCCCCUGGACAGAGACUGACGCUCAAAUGCGAAAGCGUGGGGAUCAAACAGGAUUAGAUACCCUUGUA
rnacentral:rRNA from 1 species